AACGGGAGCUGCUGCUGUCAGUGUUGGUGGUGUCAGUAGCUGGUGGUAGUGGUGUCACGAGUUGGUGGUAGUGGUAUCAGUGUUAAUGUCAGUGUUAGUGCCAGUGUACUUUGUGCGAUAAAAGUUAACCUGUUUUUAACUUAACCUAACCUCCAUAAUGAUAUAGUUUUAACUCUGCCAUAACUAAACUUUUUUUCUUUACCAACAAUGAAAAACGUGACAUUGAAAACACAGUGAUUAAAACUAUUAAUCUAUUCAUUCAUUCACUUUUUUUUUACGUAAUAUCACCCAGUUUAUCCACUCAUUAUAAAACAGUGUGGACUUCUGGCGAGCAAUUCCCCUAUAUUUAACUAUGAUACGCGUUCAAUCUCCAAGUGAAAGCUAUAUUAAGUGAACUUUAAACAUAGGUAAUAUAGAAAAUAUACUCCAUGUUUAUGUAAGUGAUAUUAUAUAAAUAUAUAUAUUACUCCUAUGCGUGUAUCAAGAAUGCAGGCCGUCUUGAGGGAGUUGUUACAAGGACUUCGAAACACCUUAUGGGAGACUUUAUCUGAAGUGUGGGGCAGAUCACCAAAUAAUAUGGUACCGAUUGCCACCAGCCGUACAGUACUCAUAAACCGUCGACCGUUCUCCCACCUGCUGCCUCUCCCACGCUACCCAGGCAACACCAUCACUACUGCCAAGUACACACUUCUGACCUUCCUGCCCAAGAAUUUGUUUGAACAGUUCAGACGUCUGGCCAACUUCUACUUCCUGUGCCUCGCUAUUAUCCACGUUACCAUCAACAGCCCGGUGUCUCCCCUGACGAGCGUCCUGCCGCUGGUGCUGGUGAUAUGUGUGACGGCGGUGAAGCAGGGGUACGAGGACUGGCUGAGGCACCGUGAGGACAACAAGGUUAACAACUCCCCCUCCAGAGUCCUGCUGGAGGGUGAGGUGAAGGAGGUGCCCCGACGGGAGAUCUCAGUUGGAGACAUUGUACAGGUGAGACGAGACGAGGAGUUCCCCUGUGACUUACUGUUGCUCACCUGCCAUGACGUCAUCGAGGCCAAGAGUGACGUCACCACAGGAUCUUGUGACGUCACCACGGCUAACCUAGACGGCGAGACCAACCUCAAGACGUUCGUAUGCCCAGUGGAGACACGAGAGCUUCGUACACAUCAGCAGCUGUGGAAACUGACAGCAACUGUUCAGUGUCAGCUGCCUCACGCCAACUUAUACGACUUUAAGGGCAAGAUGGAAGUGUAUCGGGGCUCCGGCCUUCCUACCACUGCCUCCCUCAACACUGACAACCUCCUGCCCAGGGGCGCCCGGCUCAAGAAUACAUCUACAGUGUAUGGGGUCGCCAUCUACACAGGGGAGGAGACCAAGAUGGCUCUCAACUCUAAGAUGACCAGCAACAAGUUCUCCAUUGUUGAGAAGUCAAUGAACUCUUUCCUCGCCUUCUUCAUGGUGCUGCUGCUGGUGGAGGUCACGGUGUGCACAACCCUCAAGUACUACCUCUAUGGCAACGACGUCAGCAAGAUACAGAAGUUUUGGGGCACGAGUUUCCUGAAGUGGGACGACGAAUUGAGUGGCCCAGGGGAGUUGGAGGGGGUUCGUGUCAACACCUCAGACGUUAAUGAAGAACUGGGGCAGGUGCAGUACCUGUUUACAGACAAGACGGGGACACUAACGGAGAACACGAUGCACUUGAGGCAGUGUUCUGUGGAGGGAGUUAAGUAUACAGACGUUGGAGGAGACCUACACGUGCUGGACGAGGAGACGAACACGACCACGCCCCUACGAGACCUGAAGGAUGAGGUUGAGAGGUUUCUGGUGACCCUGGCACUGUGUCACACCGUCAAGGUCGCUGUCCCAUCACCAACAAUGUCAAAAGGUGGGAAGAAAAGGUCAACGAACGACACACACUUACACACCUUGACCCCAGAUUACCAAGCGUCCAGCCCAGAUGAGAAGGCACUGGUGGAGGCUUGUGCCAGGUAUGGCAUUGUGUUCCGUGGAGUGAAGAGCAACAGCAUUACCCUGGACGUGAGAGGUCAAACACGUUCAUACAAGAGGCUCCAGGUCCUCCAGUUCGAUCCAGACCGUAAGUGCAUGUCAGUGGUGGUGAGGGAGGAGGCGUCGGGGAGGAUCUGGCUCUUGACGAAGGGAGCGGAGAGCAGCGUGUUAAGAAGGUGUGCUGACGCUGCCCACCAACAGCCUCUCCACGACACAACCCUCGCUCACAUUGACGACUACGCCCUGCUGGGGUUGAGGACGCUGGUGGUGGCCAGGAAGGAGCUGGACUACAAGCACUACCAAGUCUUCGCCAGCCAGCUGUCUAAAGCACGCCAGGUGGUGGAGGGGCGAGAGGCAGCGGUGAGGGAAGUGACUGAGAGGAUGGAAGCUGAGCUGAGACUGCUGGGAGCUACCGGGGUGGAGGACCUUCUGCAGGAGGGCGUCCAGGAGACUCUGGAGGCUCUCAGGGCAGCGGGUAUCAAGGUAUGGGUGCUCACUGGAGACAAGGUGGAGACUGCGGUCAACAUCGCUUACUCCUGCGGUCACUUCAAGCGGUUUAUGACCGUCUUGUCUCUCACCAGCCUGCAUGACCUCCACCAGGCGGAGUCUGUACUGCAGAUGUGCUGGGAGGUGUCAGAGGAGGAAGGGUCGUACGGCCUGGUGGUGGACGGAGGGUCGUUGGUACUACUGAUGGAGCACCACAAGAGGGACUUCUACGACCUCUGCUGCAGGUGCUGGUCCGUCGUCUGCUGCAGGAUGUCCCCCCGGCAGAAGGCUGAGAUGGUGCGACUGGUGAAGACUGCCAAAGAGCGGCCCAGAUGUGCAGCCAUUGGUGACGGAGCUAACGACGUGUCCAUGAUCCAGGAAGCUCACGUUGGUAUAGGCAUUAUGGGUAAGGAAGGUAGACAGGCAGUAACGUGUGCAGACUUCGGCAUCUCCCGGUUCCAGUUCCUGCAGAAGGUGCUGCUGGUGCACGGCCACUGGAGCUAUGUCCGGGUGGCGGUAUUCAUCCAGUUCUCCUUCUACAAAAACGUGGUCUUCAACACCCCGAUGGUCUUCUACGCUGUCUGGUCCGCCUUCUCUACCCAGAGUGUGUAUGAUGGUUUACUUCUGACCAUGUAUAACAUUACGUGCACCUCCCUGCCGGUGCUGGUGUACAGUCUAGUGGAGCAGAACCUGCCAUCCAGCGUCCUGCUCACGAGACCACACCUCUAUCAACUUAACGCUAACAACGCCUACAUGAGCUGGCGAGUGUUCUUCCAGUGGAAUCUCUUUGCCCUAUGGCACGCCCUGGUCCUGUACUUUGGCCUCAUGUUGGUCUGCUACGACGACACCUGUGGCCUCCCCCAUGGCCAGACCUCAGACCUCUACCUCUUCGGCCUCACCCUCGGCACCCUGUGUGUGUUCGUCACCAACCUCAAGAUAGCAUUAGAGACCAAUUACUUCACCGUGGUGUUCGCGGGGGCUCUGGUAGUCGCCUUCUUGGGCCAGUCAGCCAUGUAUGUCAUCUACUGCGGCCUUCCUGUGAGUGAGGUGCGUGCACUGCGGGGCUCUGUCGACGGCGCCAGGACGGAGGCUAAGCUUUUGUUUUGAAAGUUGAUUUCCGUUCCGUCGUCAAAAGAACUUCACUCAAUCCAUAUACACACCGUCUAAAGUACUUACAUAAACGAAGGGAGCCCUUCACCCUCAACGACAUCUACUGGGCCUACUACAGGUUGUUUCAGAGCCCGUCCCUCAAUCUAGCCUGCGUCCUGCUG
rnacentral:misc_RNA from 1 species